GGAAACAGACGCUAAUACCGCAUAAGAUAGCAGUAUCGCAUGGUACAGCUAUCAAAGGAGCAAUCCGCUGAAAGAUGGGCUCGCGUCCGAUUAGAUAGUUGGUGAGGUAACGGCUCACCAAGUCGACGAUCGGUAGCCGGACUGAGAGGUUGAACGGCCACAUUGGGACUGAGACACGGCCCAGACUCCUACGGGAGGCAGCAGUGGGGAAUAUUGCACAAUGGGCGAAAGCCUGAUGCAGCAACGCCGCGUGAGGGAAGACGGUUUUCGGAUUGUAAACCUCUGUCCUUGGUGAAGAAAGAAAUGACGGUAGCCGAGGAGGAAGCCACGGCUAACUACGUGCCAGCAGCCGCGGUAAUACGUAGGUGGCGAGCGUUGUCCGGAAUUACUGGGUGUAAAGGGAGCGUAGGCGGGUCGGCAAGUCAGUGGUGAAAUACAUGGGCUUAACCCAUGAAUUGCCAUUGAAACUGCCGGUCUUGAGUGGAUCAGAGGCAAGCGGAAUUCCGAGUGUAGCGGUGAAAUGCGUAGAUAUUCGGAGGAACACCAGUGGCGAAGGCGGCUUGCUGGGGUCUAACUGACGCUGAGGCUCGAAAGUGUGGGGAGCAAACAGGAUUAGAUACCCUGGUAGUCCACACUGUAAACGAUGAUUACUAGGUGUGGGGGGUCUGACCCCCUCCGUGCCGGAGUUAACGCAAUAAGUAAUCCACCUGGGGAGUACGGCCGCAAGGUUGAAACUCAAAUGAAUUGACGG
rnacentral:rRNA from 1 species